GAUGAAGAACGCAGCGAAAUGCGAUAAGUAAUGUGAAUUGCAGAAUUCAGUGAAUCAUCGAAUCUUUGAACGCACAUUGCGCCCGCCAGUAUUCUGGCGGGCAUGCCUGUCCGAGCGUCAUUUCAACCCUCGAACCCCUCCGGGGGGUCGGCGUUGGGGACCUCGGGAGCCCCUAAGACGGGAUCCCGGCCCCGAAAUACAGUGGCGGUCUCGCCGCAGCCUCUCCUGCGCAGUAGUUUGCACAACUCGCACCGGGAGCGCGGCGCGUCCACGUCCGUAAAACACCCAACUUCUGAAAUGUUGACCUCGGAUCAGGUAGGAAUACCCGCUGAACUUCAGCAUAUCAAUAAGCGGAGGA
rnacentral:misc_RNA from 1 species